rnacentral:rRNA from 1 species
GAUGAACGCUGGCGGCGUGCUUAACACAUGCAAGUCGAACGGGAAUUAUUUUAUUGAAACUUCGGUCGAUUUCAUUUAAUUCUAGUGGCGGACGGGUGAGUAACGCGUGGGUAACCUGCCUUAUACAGGGGGAUAACAGUCAGAAAUGGCUGCUAAUACCGCAUAAGCGCACAGAGCUGCAUGGCUCAGUGUGAAAAACUCCGGUGGUAUAAGAUGGACCCGCGUUGGAUUAGCUGGUUGGUGGGGUAACGGCCCACCACGGCGACGAUCCAUAGCCGGCCUGAGAGGGUGAACGGACACAUUGGGACUGAGACACGGCCCAGACUCCUACGGGAGGCAGCAGUGGGGAAUAUUGCACAAUGGGGGAAACCCUGAUGCAGCGACGCCGCGUGAAGGAAGAAGUAUCUCGGUAUGUAAACUUCUAUCAGCAGGGAAGAUAGUGACGGUACCUGACUAAGAAGCCCCGGCUAACUACGUG